GCAAGCAGGACUAGGCCGUCAGCAUAGG
rnacentral:sRNA from 1 species